rnacentral:rRNA from 1 species
AAGUCGUAACAAGGUUUCCGUAGGUGAACCUGCGGAAGGAUCAUUAAAGAUUAUGAAUGAAUAGAUUACUGGGGGAAUCGUCUGAACAAGGCCUGCGCUUAAUUGUGCGGCCAGUUCUUGAUUCUCUGCUAUCAGUUUUCUAUUUCUCAUCCUAAACACAAUGGAGUUUUUUCUCUAUGAACUACUUCCCUGGAGAGCUCGUCUCUCCAGUGGACAUAAACACAAACAAUAUUUUGUAUUAUGAAAAACUAUUAUACUAUAAAAUUUAAUAUUCAAAACUUUCAACAACGGAUCUCUUGGUUCUCGCAUCGAUGAAGAACGCAGCGAAUUGCGAUAUGUAUUGUGAAUUGCAGAUUUUCGUGAAUCAUCAAAUCUUUGAACGCACAUUGCGCCCUCUGGUAUUCCAGGGGGCAUGCCUGUUUGAGCGUCAUUUCUCUCUCAAACCUUUGGGUUUGGUAGUGAGUGAUACUCGUCUCGGGUUAACUUGAAAGUGGUUAGCCGUUGCCACCUGCGUGAGCAGGGCUGCGUGUCAAGUCUAUGGACUCGACUCUUGCACAUCUACGUCUUAGGUUUGCGCCAAUUCGUGGUAAGCUUGGGUCAUAGAGACUCAUAGGUGUUAUAAAGACUCGCUGGUGUUUGUCUCCUUGAGGCAUACGGCUUUAACCAAAACUCUCAAAGUUUGACCUCAAAUCAGGUAGGAGUACCCGCUGAACUUAA